UGGGAUAAGCCUGGGAAACUGGGUCUAAUACCGGAUAUGACUGACUAUCGCAUGGUGGUUGGUGGAAAGCUUUUGUGGUUUUGGAUGGACUCGCGGCCUAUCAGCUUGUUGGUGGGGUAAUGGCCUACCAAGGCGACGACGGGUAGCCGGCCUGAGAGGGUGACCGGCCACACUGGGACUGAGACACGGCCCAGACUCCUACGGGAGGCAGCAGUGGGGAAUAUUGCACAAUGGGCGCAAGCCUGAUGCAGCGACGCCGCGUGAGGGAUGACGGCCUUCGGGUUGUAAACCUCUUUCAGUAGGGAAGAAGCCGCAAGGUGACGGUACCUGCAGAAGAAGCGCCGGCUAACUACGUGCCAGCAGCCGCGGUAAUACGUAGGGCGCAAGCGUUAUCCGGAAUUAUUGGGCGUAAAGAGCUCGUAGGCGGUUUGUCGCGUCUGCCGUGAAAGUCCGGGGCUCAACUCCGGAUCUGCGGUGGGUACGGGCAGACUAGAGUGAUGUAGGGGAGACUGGAAUUCCUGGUGUAGCGGUGAAAUGCGCAGAUAUCAGGAGGAACACCGAUGGCGAAGGCAGGUCUCUGGGCAUUAACUGACGCUGAGGAGCGAAAGCAUGGGGAGCGAACAGGAUUAGAUACCCUGGUAGUCCAUGCCGUAAACGUUGGGCACUAGGUGUGGGGGACAUUCCACGUUUUCCGCGCCGUAGCUAACGCAUUAAGUGCCCCGCCUGGGGAGUACGGCCGCAAGGCUAAAAC
rnacentral:rRNA from 1 species